AACGAACGCUGGCGGCAGGCCUAACACAUGCAAGUCGAACGCUUCAGCAAUGAAGAGUGGCAGACGGGUGAGUAACGCGUGGGAACCUUCCCAGUGGUACGGAAUAGCCCAGGGAAACUUGGGGUAAUACCGUAUAAGCCCUUCGGGGGAAAGAUUUAUCGCCAUUGGAUGGGCCCGCGUCGGAUUAGCUUGUUGGUGAGGUAAAAGCUCACCAAGGCGACGAUCCGUAGCUGGUCUGAGAGGAUGAUCAGCCACACUGGGACUGAGACACGGCCCAGACUCCUACGGGAGGCAGCAGUGGGGAAUAUUGGACAAUGGGCGCAAGCCUGAUCCAGCCAUGCCGCGUGAGUGACGAAGGCCCUAGGGUUGUAAAGCUCUUUUGGCGGGGACGAUAAUGACGAUACCCGCAGAAUAAGCUCCGGCUAACUUCGUG
rnacentral:rRNA from 1 species